AUACGGGGGGUGCAAGCGUUAUUCGGAAUUAUUGGGCGUAAAGGGCGCGUAGGCGGUCUUGUCGGUCAGAUGUGAAAGCCCGGGGCUCAACCCUGGAAGUGCAUUUGAAACAGCAAGACUUGAGUACGGGAGAGGAGAGCGGAAUUCCUGGUGUAGAGGUGAAAUUCGUAGAUAUCAGGAGGAACACCGAUGGCGAAGGCAGCUCUCUGGACCGAUACUGACGCUGAGGCGCGAAGGCGUGGGUAGCGAACAGGAUUAGAAACCCGAGUAGUCC
rnacentral:rRNA from 1 species